rnacentral:rRNA from 1 species
UAAAACAUAGCGUUAAUGCACCCGAUCCCAUUACAAAUCCACAGAUAAGCACACUCAAUAUAGAGUAGUAUUGGGAUGGGUGAUCUCCCAAGAAGUCCUAGUGUUUUAC